rnacentral:lncRNA from 1 species
AGAUAAAUGGAGGGGGCGAAAGGUUAGAUCAAAUCCAGCCAAGCAAUCCGGAUAUCCUCAACCUCCCCCUCCAUUCCAUUGGACCAGAAGCGCACGGCCAAGACCCGUCCCUCCCCUCCCCUCCCCUCCCGCCGCACCAAGCCCAGGCACCAAACAAAAAACCAAUCACCACUCGAGAAAGUUACGCACCAAGAAAAUAGCAGGAGGAAAAACAGGCCACUCCUCUGGCUCGUGCGCCUGCGCUCACUCCGAGAAAAGAAAAAUCGCCUCACCCAAUCCAAUCCAGCGCAGCGCAGCGCUGCUGUUCCUGGGAUUCGAGAGGGAGCCUGAGCUGCCCGGUUCUUGGCUGGCUCCAUGGUUUCUCCGACGUGCCUUUGAUCCGAGGACGAGGAGGCUUUCUUGGAUAGGUGGUGGUGGUUCUUGGAUAGGAUAGGAGGGGAGAGGAGAGAGGAUAGGGUUGUGGGUUGGCCGGCCAUGUCGGUGUCGUCCUCGUCUAUGUGCGGCGGGGACGCCGGGAUGAAGUGCGUGGUGUGGUUCCGGAGGGACCUCAGGGUGGAGGACAACCCGGCGCUGGCGGCGGCGGNNNNNNNNNNNNNNNNNNNNNNNNNNNNNNNNNNNNNNNNNNNNNNNNNNNNNNNNNNNNNNNNNNNNNNNNNNNNNNNNNNNNNNNNNNNNNNNNNNNNNNNNNNNNNNNNNNNNNNNNNNNNNNNNNNNNNNNNNNNNNNNNNNNNNNNNNNNNNNNNNNNNNNNNNNNNNNNNNNNNNNNNNNNNNNNNNNNNNNNNNNNNNNNNNNNNNNNNNNNNNNNNNNNNNNNNNNNNNNNNNNNNNNNNNNNNNNNNNNNNNNNNNNNNNNNNNNNNNNNNNNNNNNNNNNNNNNNNNNNNNNNNNNNNNNNNNNNNNNNNNNNNNNNNNNNNNNNNNNNNNNNNNNNCUACUUCCCCGGCCGCGUGUCGCGCUGGUGGCUCAGCCAGAGCCUCAAGCACCUGGAGGCCUCGCUCCACCGCCUCGGCGCAGGCAAGCUCGUCACCCGGAGGUCGGCCGACUCCGUCGCCGCGCUGCUCCAGCUCGUCCGCGACACCGGCGCCACGCACCUCUUCUUCAACCAUCUCUACGGUUUGCUCCCCUUUUUUUUCGGUUCAACAUAUGCCUUGCUUGUGUCUGCUCGUGCGCGCGUUUUCUAUCUGAAUAAACAACACAAGAAAAUACACUGCUACUCUUGUCGGCCGAGAUCUCCUUCUCUUUGUAGACGUUGAUGGGCCCAAGUUUGUGGUUUAUUAACGCUGUUUUGCUUCAACUUCUUUACCUUGGCUAGAUGAUACGAAGCAGAUUCUUUAAAUUUAAUUUGUUGUUCUUAUUGUUUUUGGGCUUGCAUCUGAUUUUCUCAAGUUGAACCAGAUCUGUUAUACUAUACUACAGUACACAGUAGUACCAUGUUAUCAUGUCAUAUCACAUCUCAAUUUAUUAUGCUUUCCGCUCCGGUGAUAUGGUACAACUCAUGGUGAGUCAAUUGGAGUAGCGAGUCCCAGUUCAGCAAUCUUGCGUCUACGCUUUCCAUAUUAACUAAGUCUAAACUAUGAACAUUUCCAGCAACUCCGUCCUUAAUUGCCAAAAGUUCUUGAUUCCACCCACCAACCAAAUCAUUUUUUUCCUUUUUGUGGGCACACCAACCUGCCGAUCCAACGAGGCAGUAACAGUAUUUAGCUAUGUUCUCUGUCUAGGCACUUGCACUUUCUACUACAGUCUCGGUUAAUUGCUUGUGCUGAGAACCCUCGUCCAUUAUCUAACUCAACAAUCAGUCAAUCACUGUGUCUUGGCCAUGUUUUUUCAGACCCGAUCUCGCUGGUCAGGGACCACCGGCUCAAGGAGAUGCUGACGUCAGAGGGCAUCGUCGUGCAGUCUUUCAACGCAGACCUGUUGUAUGAUCCAUGGGAGGUCAACGAUGAUGACGGCCAACCGUUCAACAUGUUCAUGCCGUUCUGGAAUAGGUGCCUCAGCAUGCCGUAUGAUCCCCCCGCGCCACUGCUGCCCCCUAAGAGAAUCAAUUCAGGUGCUUGCCCAACUGAAACAUUAUAAGUACUAUACUAAUAGCAGCUCAGGAAAGUGUUUCCAGUCACUUCUUGGGUUCAUGAAUCAUGAUAGAGUACUAUAUUUUUAUAGCCAUGAUAAGUAGACAAAGUGAUAGACUUAUUCUGCAGAAUAAAAGGUUUCAACCUUCUGUGUUUAAAGCAUAAUGUUUUUAUAACAAGCACUGCACCACAAGUUGAGGCUGGAAUGUAUUCUUCAGUUGAUUCACUGGCAAAAAAUAUAUUCAACAGGUGACCUAUCGAUGUGCCCGUCAGACGAUCUGAUCUUCGAGGAUGAGUCAGAGAGGGGAAGCAAUGCCCUUCUGGCACGAGCAUGGUCACCAGGCUGGCAGAACGCGGAUAAGGCGCUAUCUGCCUUCCUGAACGGCCCUUUGAUUGACUACUCGGUGAACCGCAAGAAGGCGGACAGCGCAAACACCUCCCUCCUUUCACCUUACCUGCAUUUUGGUGAGCUGAGUGUGCGCAAGGUUUUCCACCUUGUUCGAAUGAAGCAACUCGUGUGGAGCAAUGAGGGCAACCACGCAGCUGAGGAGAGCUGCACCCUGUUCCUCCGAUCCGUCGGUCUCCGGGAGUACUCCCGGUAUCUUUGCUUCAACCAUCCAUGCAGCCAUGAGAAGCCCCUCCUUGCACACCUCAGAUUCUUCCCUUGGGUUGUCGACGAAAGCACCUUCAAGUUUUGGCGCCAGGGAAGGACUGGUUACCCUCUUGUUGAUGCUGGCAUGAGGGAGUUGUGGGCGACUGGGUGGCUGCAUGAUCGGAUACGUGUGGUGGUUUCAAGUUUUUUCGUCAAGGUCCUUCAACUACCAUGGCGAUGGGGGAUGAAAUAUUUUUGGGACACUUUACUGGAUGCUGAUCUUGAGAGUGAUGCACUUGGUUGGCAGUACAUCUCUGGCUCUCUCCCUGAUAGCCGGGAGCUCGACCACAUUGACAACCCUCAGGUACGUGCAAGUACUAAUUCUAUAUAAAACGAGACAACUUGGCAAUGACGAAUAGUACUGAAUACUGAUGCUUCUCAUGUGAAUCUUUAUGAAUUAUAUCAGCUCGAAGGCUACAAGUUUGAUCCACAUGGGGAAUAUGUCCGACGGUGGCUUCCUGAACUUGCAAGGCUGCCAACAGAAUGGAUACACCACCCAUGGGAUGCACCUGCGUCUGUGCUGCAAGCUGCAGGAGUUGAGUUAGGCUCCAACUAUCCUCUCCCCAUAGUUGAGCUAGAUACAGCCCAAGUCAGGCUGCAAGAAGCUCUGUCAGAAAUGUGGCAGCUUGAGGCAGCAUCCAGGGCCGCAAUGGACACUGGAAUGGAGGAAGGCCUGGGCGACUCCUCGGAGGUGCCACCAAUCGAAUUUCCUCAAGAUUUGCAGAUGGAAGUCCAUUGGGAACCAGCGCGGGUAGCGCCCAAUGUGCUCACAACUGCACAGAGACGCCAGGAUCAGAUGGUGCCUACCAUGACAACUUCACUCAACAGGGUUGAAACAGAAAUUUCUGCUGAUUUGGGGAAUAGCGUGGAUAGUAGAGCAGAGGUGCCAUUCCGCAUGCAUUUUGAGCCACGGACUGAGAGGGAGGAAAUUAUUCAAAGCACGGGCAAUGCAGUUGGAACUAAUGGCAUUCACCAUCACAAUAACUUUCAGCAACCUCAGCACCGUAUGAGAAAUAUUUUUGCGCCAUCUGUGUCUGAAGCAUCAAGUAGCUGGACCGGGAGAGAUGGUGGCGUGGUCCCAGUUUGGUCGCCUCCUGCAGCAUCAGGCCAUUCUGAAACUUAUGGAGCCGAUGAAGCUGAUGUUUCUAGUAGGAGUUAUUUGGAUAGGCAUCCUCAGUCGCACCGGAUAAUGAACUGGCAUCAGCUAUCACAGUCACUGUAAGUCACACACACGGUAACUCAUUAUUCUCGGUGAACUACAUUGAUGUUGCCCUUGCAUUGCAGUUUUGUAAGUUUUUCACGAUAGUAUGAGAUUACGUUAGUGGUACUUUAUGCCAGCAAAGUGUCUGCCAAAAAUAAAAAGAAAUACAAAAAAAUAUAAAAAAUGGUUUUAUAUGUGAAGCAGCAUAAGGGCUAAAAUCAUGCUCUUUUAAGAUCAAGAAUCUAGGUGCUAGAGUGCCAUAUGAUCUGAUGCAGUUUCAAUUCCUAAAUCAGUUGAAUAGGAGGAACAAACUAUUUAUUUUACUACCUCGGUUUGCACAUGAGUUUUCAGUUUAUUGUGUUGGUGGAAUUGGAACUUGACAGAUCUCUCCAAUAACUACUUUUGUAUGCUUUUUUUCUUCUGAUGCUUAGAUCUUAGGGCAAGCGCCCAAAUCUGCCCUACCAUUUUUUUUAACAUGUACAACAUUUUGCUUUCCGUUGGAUGGUUGCCAAUCUUUUUGGCAUGGCCCUGCCCUUUUGGCCAUUACAAUUGAAGGUUCUUGCCAACCUUGGCCAAAACAUAAGAAACAAAAAUCAGUGCUAGCCAAUUUUCUGUAGGGUUGACUGGGUGUAUCACAACAUUCUGUGUUCUUGCAUCCACUCCGCAUCUAGGAUUCACACUAUAUAAUGCUCACAAACGCCGAUUCUGCAUUUAGCAGUGAAUUACUCAUUAUUUGUCUUCAGUUAUUUCCUCCGUCGCCAACUCAUGUGUGUGAAUGCUAACUAGUUUUUUUUUUCUUUUAUGAAUGAAUGCUAACUAGCUGUUCUCACAAAAAUGUAGCAUCGCUGCAGCAACACUGUUGCAUUGCCUUUUGCAACAUUGAUACCAACAUGCAUGGCUAAUCGGCUAUCACUCGUAUACGAUCUGAUAUAUGAAGAAUGUUGAAUUUCAGGACAACAGGCAGGGACGUGGAAAACUCCGUGCAGCCAAAUUACAUCGGUUAGAAAACAAGUUUUCCGGACGCAGAGCGGAGAUCCACGAAACUGGGAUGUAUAGUCGGAGGAGCAUGCAAGGCAGGCGUCUUCGUGGGAGUGAUAAUAGCUAUGUAAAUCUAAUCCUCUAGAACCUGCAAGGAUAUAUGCGUUAUAUAUAGCUUUGCUAGAGUUGGUCGAAAAAAGGAUGUGUAUUAUUGAUCAUCAGACAAUUGAGGGUUUCCUAGUGGGGGAUGCUUAUAUUUUUUGUAGGGGUGUGUUAUAUGUCUAUAUAGCUGCAAACUCCCCUGUGUGAUUGGCAAUCUUUGGUUACUCCUGGACGGUUUUGUGCAAUCAGAAUGUAUAUAUUGACCUUACAUGUGCUGCUAUACCUAACUGUGAUGUGGAUUGAAAGCAAUUUUGUUUGAUGGCGAUGGGCGCUGGGCUAUGAAUAUAUGCGGUGGAAAACGCACGCAGCAUAUGUGCGGGGACUAAGAUCACGAGAUGCCCCACUAAGUAUUGCUACCCUUGGAGCGAGGACCACUGCAAUUUUAAGCCCUAGACGCCCCAUAAAUAGAGCAGAAAGCAGCGUAGCUUCCAUACAGAUUGGCAUGUACUCACUCCGCCGCAUAAUAUAAGGUGUUAUUACAUCAAAUGUGUCUAUAAACGAACCUGAGAUGCCCAUUGAUUGCCAUUGGCACAAGUAGCAACUUGUCCCAUGAGAGCAGGUUGGGAUAACCCAAAUGAGACGUACAUUUCCUAUGAAAUAGUUUUUGCAUCCACGUAACUGGAGAAACACAUGAGAUACGAGAAUUCAAAAGUAACCUCAAUAGCAGAACUCACUAAAUCAAUUCAACCAUCACAAAGUCAAGCAUACACCACAUUGUAAUUCUAACUGAGCAUAUGAUUUCAAGCCUCGAAGGGCACUGCUAGGACAUCAGAUGGCUACAUCUAGUGCACAAAAAAUUCAAAUUAGGACCAACAUACAGAACCCAAUGCAUUGUUACAUUCCUUGGUAAGAAUGUCGGUGCAAAGUAUAGUCGAGCGUACUUUAUGACUUGCGCCUUAUUUCAUCAUCACUGGAGCAAGGUUCCAUUUUCCGCUGUACACUAGAACCACAAAAAAUCUGGCUUUCCUCAGUUCGUACUCACAAUCUCUGAGAUUAACAAUUUACCAUGGAGGUGAUGAAAUAGCUGUGUACAUACAACAGUAAGCUUGCAUGCUCCAAAGAAACCAACCGGGAAAAUCAACCUAAACUCUUCCCACCAAGGCCCUCGUAAAACAAGAUGUAUCCAUGAUCUGUGUUGCCUGAGUACUCAUGCGAAGAACCGAAGAAUGUUUGCAGGGUCGACUCUUCAACCAUCUCCACGUUUUCAUCAUCGAAGAACAGCCAGUGGUUGUGGCUUUUAACGAGGCUAACAUAAUGGCCAUGGUUGGGGCCGCUUCCAACAUGGACCACUACAGCAAAGAGAGAAUACUCGGUAUCUACAUCAUCAGAUGUACUGCCCAUCUUCAGCUCCAUGGGGAAUACAACCCGAUAUGAAAGCUUCUUAUACCGCCCAAGCUGCUCAAUGUACUUAAAGCGCUUUAGGUGGAUCACCAAUAUAUGGGGAGCCUUCUUGAUCUUCAUUCUCUUCUGUGCUUCUUGCAAACUGGAACAAGACCAGAUACUUGAGUUCAGCAAAUUAAGUUAAACUGAUGUUUCCUCCCAUGGUAGCUAGAAAAAUUAUUUCUUUCCAUUUCAGCCAAAAUGCACAUCACAAAAUAUGUUUUGACACAAGGAUGAAGAAAAGAGAUCGUUCGGGGCUUUAUGAUAUUUGCCCGCAUAUACAAUAAAAGGAGAUUACUCGGGGCUUUAUGAUGUUACCUACGUAUAUCAGAAAAAUGGGUACUCUCAAGGCAUGAAAUGGAGAUGUCUAGUAGAAACACAAACCAAUAAUAGGUCAAAGCAAACCAUAUUGCAUGAUGACAACAAGAAAAAUAGUACCCCCUCCGUUCCUAAAUAUAAGUCUUUUUAGAGGUUUCACUAGAAAACUACAUACGGAUGUAUAUAGACAUACUUUAGAGUAUAAAUUCACUCAUUUUGCUUCGUAUGUAGUCCCUUAGCGAAAUCUCUUAAAAGACUUAUAUUUAGGAACGGAGGAAGUAGAAGGCAAAUAUGGAAUAGUAAUAACCUGCAGCAUUUGUCACAGAAGAAUUUGUCCUCAGCAUUUAAAGUCUCAGUGGAGCUGAAAUUUUUCAGGCAGCUUGUAAUGGAACUAUUCUGCUCAAUGUCAACACUCAGAUCAAAAAACGUUUCGUCCCUUGCAGUUACUGUCUCACAUCUUAAGCAUUUGGUUUCAUUGGUCAGUAUGCCCUGUGUAGGUUGUAAUAAUAAAUAUAUAAAGAUAACACCGAAUAGGAACUUGAAGAAAGGAAACUAGGUAAACAUUAUGUCCAAGUCAUUUUCAUUAAGUUCAGUCACCUGGAAAUUCUUAUGAACCAAGGUAACAGGCGGCUCCUUUUUAACUCCGUUGGCCAAUGGUUGGACUGGCCCAUUUGGAACCUUUUCAGGAGAUGAUGAUUGGGGGGAGUCCUUCGCAGCACUGGACUCUUUCUCCAGAAUGUCAACAAGCUCAUUCAGGAGAAAAUUUAAGAACUCAUGAGCAUCCUACAGAAAUAUUAUGAACACAUUUGUUACUCAAGAUAGGUAAUUACAAGUACUGCUUUCUCAAUUGUACCAAUGACUACUUGGAAGGUUAUUCCCUAAGAGACUGUUUUACAAAGGCAGCACGGUUAAACUAAAGAAAGAUAACAGAUAAAAGCACAUGCCUGAGAAGACAAAGACUGCUGCAUACUCCCUGCGUCCCAAAAUAACUGUCUCAACUUUAUACUAGUUCUAGUAGAAAGUUGUACUAUGCUUAAGACAUUUAUUUUGGGACGGAGGGAGUAUAACAUGGCUGGGUUUGCCGUGUGAAAUAUAACAGAAUAUGACUACUUCGAAGGUUAUUCCUAAGAGACUGUUUUACAAAGGUAGCACGGUUAAACUAAAGAAAAAUGGCAGAUAAAAGCACAUGCCUGAGAAGACAAAUACUACUACAUAUAACAUGGCUGGGUCUGCCGUGUGAAAUAUCACAGAAUAUUAUCUAAAACACUACCCUCACUCCAUCACUUGGAUACAUCACUGCAACCAACAUUCAGAACUCUAUAUUUACAGAGGCUGCCUAAAAGUUGCAUCAAUAAGAUCAUCAUGAGGAUAUCAUGGCACAACCACUGACAUGUACUGCUAUGAUAUGUAUCAAAUUACCUGGUGCAUGUAGCUGCGAAAUAAUUCAUUUUGUUUCUUCACUCUUUGGACAAAACGUUUUGGAGCAAUAACGCCUGUCUUUUUCUUGGAUUGACUUACCUGCAUGAAAUAUUAUCAGCUGUCAUACUUUCAGGAAAUAUUAUGAGCUUUCAUUAAUUCAGUACAAACGGAAAUAUCCUGCCACAAGUUUCAUAUCACAUAAAACAUACAGAGAAGACCAUUGAGCAACGAUGAUGCACAUGGAUGAAUUGGUGGUUAAGACACCUUGCCAUCAUUGGUAUACAACUUCGUAUCAAAGACAUUAUAUAUAUGUUGGUCACUAGGUGUUCAUCAUCCAAUAACUCGAGAAUGAGAAGCUAAAACGGUAAUAUAGAUCUGUUGACAGCAAUCACCAUUGAAGGCUGAUUGUGUAGAUUCAUUUUUCAAACCUCAAUCAAUAAUGAUAGAACAUGGCCAAAGCACUAUACAAUUCCAAGUCAAUUUGCAAAAGUAACAACAUGCCCAUUGCUCAAACACAAUUACAUAUCACUAGGUUAAGCUUAUCUUUUUCUCCGGUUUACCUGCAUGAAAAGAUCCGCCAAACAAGUCAAAAGGUUUUCCUCUGCGUCUCCAGGAUUUUUGUUAUUCGUAUAAUAUUCGAGUAACUGCUCCCUGAACGGAGUGCAGAAAUAAAGUGCCUGAAACAGAAGUAUGGGUAAGGUUCAUGUAAAUAAUUCAGAUGUGUUAGAACAGUCGAUUACACAGCAUGGCAAACAACUAUCUGAUAAGAGCAGGAUAUGAGCAAAACAUUUGUCACAAAGAAAGGACAGAACAUAACUAAACUGGAGAAAAUAUGGCAUAAGAAUGAUAACAGUAGUAGGAUGUAAACAGUACAAACCUACAUGAAAGCUAAGAUAGCACAUCAUGGAAGUCCAUCCAAGCCAGAAAACGCUACUCCUAUAUCAUAGCUACAUCAUUGUGCAAAUUGGCAGCUAAAAGGUGUACCGUGUACAAGUGAAUAGAGAAUACACAAAAAGAUUUAUUUCCCAAGCAUGAAAAAACAUUGCUGCAUUAAACAAAACUAACACAAUCUCGGGAGAAAAAAGUUUUAUCCUAGAUCUUCUCUAUGUCAUGGAUAAUAUGAGGAUAGUGAUAGCUACAAAAUAUAAUCUAGCCUGCCUGCAUAUCCACAAUAUGCACCAAAACACAUCUUACAGUUUUACACUGAACCUUCUCCUAGUGAUGAAAAGUAACUUUAAUGUAAUCAUGGGGGAGCAGAAUUGUAUAAAGAAGGUUAGAGACCACAUUGGCGAACAAUUGCUUGGUGUGUCUGUAAUGAGCCUAAAAAAGUAUAUGAGACACAACAAGGGUCUGGCAGCAAUUGAGAAUGGAUAGUGAUCUCUCGACGAUUUGUCAUGUUACCUCCUUUUAGAUGAGAUAGCUUGAGUAGGGGCUAAGCCAACUGACCAAUAAAUGGGGGAGCAUGUGGGUGCUCUACUAGGAGCUUGGGUUAGAGAUAGACAAGUUACCACAGCAAAUCAUCAAAAUAGAGAACAAACAACCCAGUGGACACUCUUAAUUUGAAGCAGAUAAAUAGAGGCAUUUUGACACGCCUCUAACUUGCAAGCAAUGAAGCAAUCUUGCUGAAGGCAUUUAAUCUUUGUAAAAAGGUGUGUUUCGGAUAAAUGCAUCAAUUUCGGAUAUUGACCAGGCGCACUUAAAUCUAUUUCGGAUGUACAGUGUUUAAUUCAAAAGAUUUUGGAGGUAUCAAUGUAUUCGUAAAAGACAAGCUCAUACCGGUAUUCCAAACGGUAGGAUGUUGUUACUAUACCUGGCUGUAAUAAAUUCUUAAACACGCUAACGACAUACUAUGUGAACACAGUGCAAUCAUAACCAAACAUCCAUGUGUCACAUAGCUCAGUUUGGGGAGUUGCGCCGUCGAAAAAUUCCCCCCACCCAUAUCGUCAUAUAUAUUUCACAUUAUACCAACACGGCGCUGAAUCUAGUGAGCAUCUACUAUGCCAACAUAACAAGGAGCACAUUCAACCCAACCGCAAAAAAACAAAGGCGCCUCCGCCUCAGAGGCUAUCGAACUGCCACCUAACAGAAUCAUUUAAACAUGUAUACUGCACAGAUUACCGCUUAGCAUGCAAGGCGCAAAAAAUCUAUAGGCCACAAGUUCCCGGGAUAGGAUAUGAAGACCUGGAGUACACUGUUGCAGUAACAGGUGUUGCCAAAGUUCUCGAGUCCGAAGUAGCGCUCGCCUUCAGGGAACUGGUCGCCGAGGGCCUUCUCGAGCUUGGAGCCGCUGGCUCCCAUGACCAUCCACCGGUCCCACCACCCGGUGGCGGCUCCGGUGAGGUACCGGAAACCUGACCCGAGCCCGGAGCGGCUCCUCUCGGCCGCCGAGGAGGCCAGGGCGGAUCUAGAUGGUGCGCGCACCGGGAAUUUGUGGAGGUUAGCUUGGGACUGAGCAAUCACCGUAUGAACAAGAGCUCGUACCUCAAGAACCGAUGUCGGAUAUGCAGGCGGGGGUGGAGUCAGCGGUGACGCGACGGGGUAGAAACGAGGGCGGCGAUGGCGGCGACGCGCGUGGGGGGCGAAGGAGUUGGGUGGGUGAGGCGCCGGCGGUGACGCUUAGCUCCAGGGCACGGCGGCGGUGGCGUAUGGGAGGAGAUUUUAGGAGCUCGUUGGGUUUGGAUGGAUUGGAGCUUGGGCUUGGGUAGGUCAGAGUAUGAGAGCAGCGUGGGAGAGGAGUGGAUCGGGAAGGAAGAGGAAAGGUACGGGAUGGUGGAGGGGGAAAAGUCUGGCUGCCGAGUGGAACAUGUAUUUUGAUGGUUCAGAUCGUUCCCUGCCAUGACAUUUGACCGCAUCACGAUAAACACAGAGUAGUACUCUACUCCCUCCAUUUCUCUAUUAUUACCCUAACGCGUUUCGUAAUUUUUUUAGAAGGGGAAUAGGAAUUUAGAGAAGGGGUCGUACAUGGGAAAUGACAUUUUACUUUCAAUCCCUUGUUUGAUAUCAGAGAAUAUUACAUGUGAGAAUUUGAAGGAGAUGCUAAUUCCUUUAUUUGGUUAUUAGUAGGAAUUCAUCCGAUGACCGAAGGAUGAUACAUCUCUUAUACAUCCUUUAUUUGGUUGUAUUUUUUUAGCAUCCCCAUUAACUUAUUUAUCUCAACAUGAAAGUAUGUAGAUUGUCAUAUAAUUAUGGAUAGAUAAGGCUCACUUCAAUAUGCAACCAUGCAUGAAAAAAUAACCACCACCACCACAUGUAAUCGUGCAUGAAAAAAUAUUUUGCAUUAUACUCCCUCCGUUCCUAAAUAUAAGACCUUUUAGAGAUUGUACUAUUAACUACAUACGGAUGUAUGUACACAUAUUUUCGAGUAUAGGUUCACUCAUUUUGCUCUGUAUGUAGUCUUCUAGUGAAAUUCCUAAAAGAUCUUAUAUUUUGGAACGGAGGGAGUAUUAUUUUACUUAUAUUAGAUAAAUAUUUUACAACCAUACAUAAUAAACUAUAAUAUGUCGUAUGUAAUUUUAAUAUCAGUCCACAUGUUAUUAACCUAAAUAUUUAUAUUCAACAUAACUAAAUCUUAUUGAAAUAUAUGGCAACUGAUUCCAGCGGCAAGGUCGUCUAUCUUCUAAUUAUGUUACGUGGAAAGGUUAAAAUGUUCUCCAUAUCUGAGCUUCCUCCCAAUUCUCAUCCUCUCAUAUGUAAUAAAAUGGUGAAAGUUAAACUUUGCGUCUAAUCUUUCAUGAAUUUCCAUCAGUCCAACCAAACAAGUGAUUUUAUAUCUGAGAACCCUUAAACUCGUAUUCCUUCCCUCUAAUCACGCGCAACCAAAUGGGUUGUUGAAAGGAUCAAUAUGGUUGACUAAAAAAGGGUGAAUAGGCAACUGUCAAUUUUUAGCUUUUUUUAACAAAUUAGGUUUAGCAAUAAAUAGAUUGUCUAGAUAUGCAACUAGGUAAACAACCUAUAUGAUGCUAACAACAACCACAACAAGCAAGUAAAGUAAUACAACACAAGUAAAGCUUGCGCAAAGUAAAAGUAAGAGGUAACCACAAGUGAAACCGAUGUAGACGAGGAUGUGUUACCGAAGUUCCUUUCCUUUGAGGGGAAGUACGUCUCUGUUGGAGCGGUGUGAAGUCACAAUGCUCCCUAAGAAUCCACUAGGGCCACCGUAGUCUCCUCAUGCCCCCAGACAACGCGAGAUGUCGUGAUUCCACUAGUGGUGCACUUGAAGGCGAUGACCGAAUAUUUUACAAACAAGGUUAGUGCAACAUCCAGAGCUUAAUUGGAGUCUCCCAACAACAGAACGAAUCUUCACUAUAAUGAAUUGUGGCUAUGAGGUGACCUCGACCGUCUAGGGUGCUUAAACGCCCAAGAGUAACAAGAUCCACAAGGGAUUAGUGGGGGAACCAAAUUUCUCUUGGUGGAAGUGUAGAUCAAGGCCUCUCAAGCAAACCCUAGAACAUCAACAUGUUGUGUUGGCUAGAGAGAGAGAUCGGGCGAAAAUGGAGCUUGGAGCAACAAUGGAGCUUAGGGUUAGGAGAGGUUAUCUUCUUGGGGAAGAAGACCUCCUUUAUAUAGUGGGGGGGACAAAUCCAGCAGUUAUCCCCACUCAACCCGCACAUAAGCGGUACUACCGCUCCUGAGAACGAUACUACCGCUAGAGCGGCAGAACCAACCACACAGUAAAAUGGCAUGAGGCCAUGGGACGAUAGUGUCAUCAGAGCGGUACUACCGCUCACCCCCGCAACAUUACCAUUGGGGUUGUAGUGAAGCAGCCCUACAGACACAGAGAGGAAGUAGAAGCCGAGGCAGUUUCGCGUGAGCGGUACUACCACAGAUAAGAGGUGGUACCGCUUCCUGGUACUGCCUAGAGUCCAUCGAGGAUUCCUGGCUCAGAAAGAAGGGCAGAAGUGGGGCCGUAGUAACAGGUGGUACUACUGCUCGAGAGCGGUAUUUCCACGCCGUACUAUCAGCCAGAAAUCACUCAGUCCGACACGAAAAAAAUUGAGACCCCGAAGCCAACGGUAUAGCGCGCGACAUUAGGCAAGGGCACUACCGCCCAUAGGCGGUACUAACGCUGCCAGGAGUGGUACUAUCGUAGAUAAGGGGCAGUACCGCUGCCGAGAGCGGUACUACCGUAGAUAAGGGGUAGUAUCGAUGCCUUGCGCGGUACUUCCGCUUGGUUCCUUAUAGACUAGAAUAAGGAUAAAAUCGGAGCUCCAAAAAUGCGGGAAAGGAACAUGGGUGCAAAUGAGUGUACGUUGUGAUUCCACCAAACCUUUCCGAUGCCAACCCCUCUUAAUAGUACGGUUCUCCUACGACUAAAAUCCACCAAAAAUGAAAUGCGGAAAGAAACCGUCUUCACUCUAAUCCACCGAGGGGGCAAGAAUCGUCUUCUGCCAUAUGAUGAAAUAUCUGAAAGGCUUAAUGCACAUGAUUAGUCCGCAAAUGCAUUGUCAUCAAUCACCAAAACCACUAGGGUAGAAAUAACCUUACAAUCUCCCCCUUUUUGGUGGAUUGAUGACAACACGGGAUUUGCACAAAUAACAUCAUGAGACAUAAAGCAAAUCCCAACAUCUACAAAAUAUAGACGGGCUCCCCCUAGAUGUGUGCGCUAUAUUUGAUAUGCUUUUGGAAUGCAAAGCACACACCUAGGAUCAACACUCCCCUUAUAUUCUAUAGAUAGGCACUACUUGCAUUAAGAGAAUAGAAGAUAAAUAUAAGUGCAAGAAGUGACAUGUGAGCAUAAACAUAGGGCACAAGAUAAGCAUAACUCACAUACUAAGACAUAUAGAGAUAAUUAAAGGGUAGCAUAUGUAUCGCACCAUAUGAUGCAGUCACUUAAGUCUCACACACAUAAACCAAACAAAGCAAAUGAUAGAAGAGUCCACGACUGUAGAAAACACAAGCAACUAAGACGCACUCGUGACUCGGAAAAUCCCUAAAAUCUCUCCUCCUUUGGCAUCAAGACACUAUAAGGGCAGAGAAAAGUAAGAUGACCCGAGGUGGUAGCAACUCAUGGGACCAUCUUCAGUAUUCUCCGGACUCUGGGCUGAAAGUUGUGGUGCCGGGCGGAGCUAUUGUGCCAGACGGAGCUUUGCGCUGGGCUGAUCAACAUCGGAAUACCACUUGCAGUUCUUGGUGAUAGAGUCCCGAGACCCACUCCUUAUCUCAGCCCUGGUUGCCUGCCAAUCACCUUGUGUCGGCUCCUAGCCUCCUUCUCUACAACACGAGCCUUAUACUGACCAUGUGCCUCCAUGCAAAAUAGUUUCUUCAUCUUCUCCUUGAGCUUCUUAGCCUAAGAUGGCUCAGCAUGAGAGGGCGCCAAACUGGAAGCAGCGCCACCCUCGGCCACAUAGUCAUCAUCAUCCUCGUCAUCCUCAUCCUCAUGCAGAUCGAUCUCAGGAGCCGCAUGAGUGGACCACUUGUCUUUGUGCCUCAGCUACACAAUCUUGUGGGGAACCAACUCAGCACAUUCAAACAUGACGCCUGGAAAGGUCUUUACAAAUCGACAUGUUACACAUCCAAAACCUCCACCUCAUCAUUUUUCCUCACAAAACUCACGACAGAGCAGCAUAUCCACCAGAUAUGAGUGUACGUGGUCCAGAUUCCCAACACAGGGAAAGAGAGUGUGCGUGAAGAUGCGAUGCAAAAUGUCAAGAAAUGGUUCAAGCACAUAGGUUGACUUGCCAGUGGUGGAGGAGAUCUUCACAAUGCUGAAGGGCGAGAGAUGGUUCUUGUGAAUGGAUGUGGUCUCCUUGUGGGGGCGAAAUCCAAUUGGUUUAUGGAGCCCCUUAUCCUCAUAGCCUAGCAGACACAUGAACUCCUUCUAAGUAGUAGACAACAACUUCAUUUGUCAUCUAGGUCAAAGUCCUGUCCUCAUCGGUUCCAAGAUGGACCAUAGCAAAGAACACACCCACCAACUCUGCAUCAAAGUCCUUGUUGAACUUCAUAAGGUUGGUAAUAUCAAGAUUCUCACACAUGCUAAGAGCAUCACCAAAGUAUUAGGCAUUCUUAUCCAGAUAGUACACAUCAAUGGACUUGACAUUUGGAACAUACAGGUUCUCCUUGUGCUUGAGUAUAUCAUUAUAGAUAGAAACCUGUUGCCAGGUCCAGAAGGGGCGGUUGCGAAUAGUUUAAUCUUGGGGUUCCUCAGACGAGUUGCGAUGGCGGAUGAGCCAGAUCUCUUUGCUGGGCAACUGAGCCAUUGACUGAGACUUCUUAGGCUUGGUUGCAUGCUAUUUGGCCUUUUGCUUGGGAGGUGGCUAAUUGGAACUGUCCUCCUCUAAGGAGCAGUAGCGCUUAGAGCUCUCAUGACUUGGGUUCAUCCUAUGCUCCCGUUGAGCAGAGUUGCCACCACUGGUAUCAAUGGCAAGAGGAGAAGGUGGGGAUUGAGUCCAGCGGUCAGAAUUACGGAAGAACGAGCAGAAACGGAGAUCAGGCGGCGGUCUCCAGAGCACUUGGGUCGCGUGGAGAGAGAAGCACAUGGAGGAAAUGGGUGAAUGGGUAUGAGGGAGUGUGAACUUCCCCUGCCCGCCCCAUAACCCCCUCAUGCACCCGCCCAAGCGGUAGUACCGCGGUGGGGCAGUAGUACCACUGAUAAGAGGUAGUAACUCCCAAGUCCCCGGUAGUACCACCUAAGAUGAACACAAGGCAAAUACACACUAUGAAUGGUGGCUUAUGCAAUUUAUGAGGCUUAGAUGAGAGUUGGAGACUCAGAAACCAGUAAAUGGGAGGGACACUCCAUGUUUAAAGACUCAAAAACGAAGAAAAACAAACUUGGAGUGACAUAAAACACAAAUAAGCUCUCAAAACAGAGUGCCUCACUAGGGGGGUGCCGAAGCCACGUAUGUUUGAGCCAACUGGUAUGUUACCGCGAAGAUUUUAACCUUGGGCCCAUGACCAAUACUCGUCUUUGAGGCACAAGUACCAUAAAAAAUGGAUGAUGUGAAAGACUUGAUCGAUUUAUGCAUAAUAAGGGGAGGGAGAGUUCAUCGAGAGAACAAUACACCCCUAUGCCCAUGUCUGCAUCUAAACAAGAUAAUAUGAUGAGUGUGGUGGGGUGUGCAAUACUUCAAGCCACAUUCCUCAAAUCAAUGAUAUUUAGCUCAUGCCUUAACUCACGAAAUCGUGCUUCAUCCAAUGGCUUCGUGAAUAUAUAUGCAAGUUGAUCAUUAGUGUUGAGAUGAAUAAGAUCAAUCUUCCCACGCUUGAUAUGCUCCUGGAUGAAGUGCUGACGAAUCUCAAUAUGCUUCGUCAUGUAGUGUUGAACCGGGUUGUUGGAGAUCUCGAUAGCACUCUGAUACGUCUCCAACGUAUCUAUAAUUUUUUAUACUUCCAAGCUAUUAUAUUAUCAUUCUAGGAUACUUUUGGGAGUAUAUUUACCAAUUAAUAUUAUUUUUGAGCACUAACUUAUGGACCCAGUGCCCAGUGCUAGUUGUUGUUUUCUACAUGUUUUUGGCUUUUCAGGUUUACAGUAUUGAACGAAGUCCAAUUGCCACAAAACUUUUUGGUCAUUUUUUCUGGAUCAAAAGAAGACCUGGAAGCUUCGGGAGGAGGCCAGAGGCCUCAUAGGGAGGCACGAGCCAACAGGACGCGACCAGGGGGUAAGGGGCGCCCUGUUUGCCUAGUGCUCCCCUGGGCUGCCUCCUCGCGUACCUCUUCGUCCUAUAAAUUCACAGAUAUCCCCAAAACCCUACAGAGCAACCCAAAACACUUUUUCCGCCACCGCAAGUCUCUGUUUCGCCAUGUGCCCAUCUCGAGCCCUUUUUCGGUGCCCUGUCGGAGGGGGUCGAUCACGUAGGGCCUCUACAUGAUCCUUGCUUCUCCCAUGGUGAUGUGUGAGUAGUUCACCAUAGACCUACGGGUCCGUAGUUAGUGCCUAUAUGGCUAUCUAUAUCUCUCUUGAUCUUCAAUACAAUGAUCAUCACAACUUCGCUUUGAUCUAUUCGAUGUAAGUCUUUUGUGCGAUGCGUUUGUUGGGAUCCGAUGAAUUGUGAGUUUGUGUUCAGAUUAUUCAUGGUAAAUAUUUGAGCCUUCUCUGAAUUCUAAGUAUGAUUCUUAUGUGCAUGAUCAACAUAGCUUCGUAAAUCUCUUCGAUCUAUUGAUUUGUGUUGGCCAAGUAGAUUGAUCUUUCUUUAGUGAGAGGGGUGUGUUGUAGCGGGUUCAAUCUAACAAUUUCCUAUAUCCUAGUGACAGAAAGGGACAAGAUACGUCUUUGUAUUGUUGACACUAAGGAUAAAAUGAUGUCGAUAGUUCAUAUUAAUUGAAUUCUAUUUGUCUACAUCAUGUCAUCAUUAUCCAAGAAUUACUUCGUUUUACAUAAUACUCUAGAUGCAUGGUGGAUAGUGCUCGCUGGUGGAGUGAUAUUAAUAGGUGCACGCAGGAGUCAGCCUACUUGCUUAUGGACGUGAUGCCUAUAUACACAUGAGCAUUGUCGUUAAUAUCACAUAACUAUGCGCUUUUCUACCAAUUUCCCAACAGUAAUUUGUUUACCCACCGUAUGCUUACUUUCAUGAAAGAUGCCACUAGGGAAAACUAUGCCCCCUGGUUCUAUUCACUUAUAAGUUUACAAACAUUAUAAUUUCCUCACUACCUUUGUUUAUAUUUUAUUUACUUUUCACUUUGCAACAUCUAUAUACACACUUUACUUGCUUGCAAAUAACAAUACAAGGGGAUUGACAACCCUCUUGCCCGCGUUGGGUGCAAGUGUUUGGUUCUUUUGUGUGCAAUCACUGAAGACGGGGGAUGGUUUUUACUCCUAUUGGUUCGAUAAACCUUGGUUCUCUACUGAGGGAAAUACUUACCUAUAUUGUGCUGCAUCACCCGUUCCUCUUCACAGAAAACCCAACGCAGAUCACAAGCAUCACACUCUCGUUGUCACAGUAAAGAGGCACUUUGUCACAAGUGACACCAUAAUCCUUUAAAGUUUGCCUCAUCCAAAGAAAACUGUGAACAUCAACUUGCGACGACUACAUACUCGGCCUCGAUGGACAAGAGAGAAACACAAUUUUCUUUUUUGAACACCAACUUACAAAAGAGUUGCCAAGGCAUUGGCAACCUUCGGAAGUUGACUUCCUCUCCACACGACCUCCCGUCCAAUCCGAGUCCGAAUAUCCCAUGAGAUCAAACGAAGCACCUUUUGGAUACCAUAAGCCAAAGUUUGGGGUACGAGCCAAAUAUCAAAAGAUUCGCUUGCCACCACAUAGUGGCAUUCCUUAGGUGUGGCUUGAAAUUGUGCACAAAUUUCCACAUUCAACAUAAUAUCUGAUCUAUAUGCACAAAGAUAAAUGAAGGAUCCAAUCAUGGAGCGAUAUACCUUUUGAUCCACGGCUUUACCAUUGGGAUCAAUGUCGAGUUGGCACUUAAGUGGCAUGGGGGUCUUGGCCGGCUUGACAUCAUCCAACUUGAACCUCUUGAGCAUGUCUUGAGUGUAUUUUGCUUGGUUGAUGAAGGUUCCCUAGCUUCUAAUCCAAGCAGGAACUUCAACUCUCCCAUCAUAGACUUCUCAAACUCUUUGGUCAUUAGUGCAUCAAACUCAUCAUUGAAAGCUUUGUUAGAGGAACCAAAGAUAAUAUCAUCAACAUAUAGUUGGCAUAUGAACAAGCUACCUUUAACCCUCUUCGUGAAAAGAGUGGGAUCAAUUUUCCCAAUUUCAAACCCAUGGUCUCGCAACAUAUCACUAAGGUACUCAUACCAUGCACAUGGGGCUUGUUUAAGGCCAUAGAGUGCCUUAUCGAGUUUGUAUACAUGAUUGGGAACUUGGGAUCCUCGAACCCUGUGGGUUGCUUGACAUAUACCAACAUCUUAGGUGGACCAUUAAGAAAUGCACUCUUCACAUCCAUUUGAUAUAAUUUGAAAUCAUGAUGAGAUGCAUAUACAAGUAACAUGCUGAUACGUCUCUGUCGUAUCUACUUUUUCGAACUCUUUUGCCCUUGUUUUGGACUCUAAUUUGCAUGAUUUGAAUGGAACUAACCCGGACAGACGCUGUUUUCAGCAGAAUUGCCAUGGUGUUGAUUUUGUGCAGAAAUAAAAGUUCUCGGAACGUCCUGAAAAUUUACGGAGAUUUUUUCCGGAAUAAAAGAAAAAUACCUGCGCAAAGAUCCACGUGAGGGGGCGUGCCAGUGGGCCACAAGCCCACAGGCCGCGUCCACCCCCUAUGGUCGCGCCGUGCAGGCUUGUGGGGACCACGUGGCACCACUGCCCCCAAUCUCAGCUCUAUAUCUUUUGUUUCGCCUGAAAAAAAAUCUGAGAGAAAGUUUCAUCGCGUUUUGCGAUACGGAGGCGCCGCCACAUCCUGUUCUUCAUCUGGAGGGCAGAUCUGGAGUCCGUUUCGGGCUCCGGAGAUGGGAAAUUGUCACCAUUGUCAUCAUCAACCUUUCUCCAUCGACAAUUCCAUGAUGCUCUUCAUUGUUCAUGAGUAAUCUCAUCGUAGGCUUGCUGGACGGUGAUGAGUUGGAUGAGAUCUAUCAUGUAAUCGAGUUAGUUUUUAACGGGGAUUGAUCCCUAGUAUCCACUAUGUUCUAGAUUGAUGUUGCUACUACUUGGCUAUGCUUAAUGCUUGUCACUAGGGCCCGAGUGCCAUGAUUUUAGAUCUGAACCUAUUAUGUUGUCGCCAAUAUAUGUGUGUUUUAGAUCCUAUCUUGCAAGUUGUAGUCACCUACUAUGUGUUAUGACCCGGCAACCCCGGAGUGACAAUAGCCGGAACCACUCCCGAAGAUGACCAUAGUAUGAGGAGUUCAUGUAUUCACCGCGUGUUAAUGCGUUGGUCUGGUUCUUUAUUAAAAGGAGAACCUUAAUAUCCCGUAGUUUCCAUUAGGACCCCGCUGCCACGGGAGGGAUGGACAAUAGAUGUCAUGCAAGUUCUUUUCCCUAAACACGUAUGACUACAUACGAAAUACAUGCCUACAUUAGAUUGAUGAACAGGAGCUAGUUACAUAUCUAUCUGUGUUAUAGUUGUUACAUGAUGAAUCACAUCCGUCACACUCAUCCAUCACCGAUCCCCUACCUACGAGUCUUUUACUAUUGGUCCUCGCUACGUUACUUUUCCUAGGCUUGUCCCUUGCUACAAAAGAGAUUGGGCCACUUUGCUGCUGCUGUCACUACUGCUAUUACUUGUCGCUUUGCUGCUGCUGUUACUACUGUUGUUACUUGUUACUUUGCUUCUGCCGCUACUACUGUUCCUUGCUACUCCGCUGUUACUUGUUGCAAGACUUUGUUGGCGCUAACAUCCCAUCAACAAGGCUUUUUCUGGCACCGUUGUCGGGGAUUGUCAAAGCUUUUUCUGGUGUCGUUGCUAUCAUACUACCUUGCUACUGAUACUUUGCUUGCAGACACUAAUCUUUCAGGUGUGGUUGAAUUGACAACUCAGCUGCUAAUACUUGAGAAUAUUCUUUAGCUUCCCCUUAUGAGCGAAUCAAUAAAUUUGGGUUGAAUACUCUACCUCGAAAACUGCUGCGAUCCCAUACGCCUGUGGGACAUCAAGGCUUUUUCUGGCGCUGUUGCCGAGGAAGCACAACUAUAUUCUCAGAGUCACUUGGGAUUUACGUUUGCUGAUCACUAUGAGGAAUCCGAAAGAUCCAAGAACUAAAAUCCCGCCUUCCACUACGAGGAGAGGUAAGGAACUACCAUCUAGCUCUGCACUUGAUUCGCCUUCAGUUAUGAGUAAGUUUGCGACUUCGCCUCCUGCUAGAAAUCUUGAUAUGUCGCCUGUGCUUGAUGAUGCUACUUCUGCUGCCCAUGAUGCUAUGCUUGAUACUAUGCCUGAUGAUGCUAUGCUAGAUACUAUGCCUGAUGAUGCUAUGCUUAAUACUAUGCCUGAUGAUGCUAUUCCUGAUACUGCUUUGCCACUUGGUGCAUUCCUGAUACUGCUUUGCCACUUGGUGCAUUCCUUGAUGCACAUAUUACUAGAGUUGCUGCUAGAUGUGAUGAUACUUCUGAAAUUGCUGAUACUAUUGAAGUAGAACCUGCUACUAUGCCUGAAUUGCCUGUUAUGCCUGAUACGCGCUACGUUAUGGAGGGAGAGAUAGCUGAGGAUUUUCUUGCAUGUAAGGAUAGCUAUGAUGUUGAGAAAUUACUGCGCAAGUGGAAAAAAAAUCUCUGAACGCUAGGAUGAAAUACGACCCGAAGUUUGCCACUUCGCCUAUCUUUGUGACCGAUAAGGAUNNNNNNNNNNNNNNNNNNNNNNNNNNNNNNNNNNNNNNNNNNNNNNNNNNNNNNNNNNNNNNNNNNNNNNNNNNNNNNNNNNNNNNNNNNNNNNNNNNNNCAGUACCAAGGUCCAUGGCACGUGGGAGAGGAUCCCACCAAUCAGAAUUGGAGAAGGGUGGCUAGAGAUGGAGAUCCGGCGAGUCCCUUGGGCAACACUUUGAGAGAGGAGAGAGAAAAAAUAGGAGGAACUCGGGAUGAAUGGGAAAAGGGGGAAAACUGCCUCCCCUGCCCUUUAAAUACCCCCGAGGUCGUGGCGGCGCGGUAGUACCGUUGGGCCAGCGGUAGUACCGCUGGGCCAGCGGUAGUAAAAAUUUACUAUCGUGCUAGGGGUGGUAGUACUGCUUGGUCAGCGGUAGUAAAUUUUUACUACUGUGCUGGGGGCUGUAGUAUCGUGCUUCUAUUGACAAAAUUGCCUAAGAAACUUGCUCUACUCUCCUCGACAAUAAAAAGGACUUCAACAAUUCGAGUGAUCAAGAUAAAAAAGAAGAGAAAACCCAAACAAGGAUGAGAAUCAACACGUAAACGCAGAACCGAAUCUCUUGAUGGAGAGAGGGCGGUGGNNNNNNNNNNUAAGUGGUAUGACACCGCGAAGAAUUAUCCUUGGGUUCAUGACCACAACUUGUCUUUGAAGCACAAGUGCCAUCAACAAUGGCUAGUGUGAAAGACUUGAUCAAUUUAUGCAUAAUAGGGGAGGAUAAGUUCAUUGAGAUAACAACACUCCCCCUAUGUCCAUGCCUACAUCUACAGCCAAAUAUAAUGAUGAGUGAGGUGUGGUGUGCCUGGUUUCAAUCUACAUUACUUGAAUCAAUGAUAUUUAGUGCAUGCCUUAACUCGCAAAACUUUGCUUCAUCUAGAGGUUUGGUGAAAAUAUCUGCAAGUUGCUCUUGAGUGUUGAUGAAAAGGACCUAAAUAUCUCCUUGCUUGAUAUGAUCUCGAAUGNNNNNNNNNNNNNNNNNNNNNNNNNNNNNNNNNNNNNNNNNNNNNNNNNNNNNNNNNNNNNNNNNNNNNNNNNNNNNNNNNNNNNNNNNNNNNNNNNNNNAAUAACGAGAAGGAGGAGGAGAAGGAGAAGGUCUUCUCCUCCUUCUCCUUCUCCUUCUCCUCCUCCUUCUUCUCCUCCUCCUCCUUCUUCUUCUUCUUCUCUUCUUCUUCCUCUUCUUCCUUCUUUUCAUUUUUCCUAUUUCUUCUCCUUUUCUCCUCUUGUUGGAGCUAAAUUAUCUAAUUAUGUCUUUUUGCAGCUAUAUGGGCUAAUUAUGCCAUUUUAGAGGAAAACAAGCUAAGAAUAUAAUAUUCAUGAGCUAACCAAGGUUUUAUGCCAUUUUAAGCUUAUUAUGUCAUUUUGGAGCUAAAUAGGCUAAUUAUGUCAUUGUUGGGUAAAAUAAGGUAAGGAGAAUAAGAAAGAGGAGAAGAAAGAGGAGUAGGACAAUAAGAAGAAGAAAUCAAGAAGAAGGAGAAGAAGAAGAAGAAGGAGAAGGAGGAGGAGGAGUAGAAGGAUGAGAAGGUCUUCUCCUCCUUCUCCCUCUUCUCCUCCUUCUUCUCCUCCUCCUCCUCCUUAUUCUUCUCUUCUUCUUCUUCUUCUUCUUCCUUCUUUUCAUUUUUCCUAUUUAUUCUCCUAUUCUCCUCUUGUUGGAGCUAAAUUAUCUAAUUAUGUCUUUUUGGAGCUAUAUGGGCUAAUUAUGUCNNNNNNNNNNNNNNNNNNNNNNNNNNNNNNNNNNNNNNNNNNNNNNNNNNNNNNNNNNNNNNNNNNNNNNNNNNNNNNNNNNNNNNNNNNNNNNNNNNNNNNNNNNNNNNNNNNNNNNNNNNNNNNNNNNNNNNNNNNNNNNNNNNNNNNNNNNNNNNNNNNNNNNNNNNNNNNNNNNNNNNNNNNNNNNNNNNNNNNNNNNNNUUAAGGUAAGGAUAAUAAGAAAGAGGAGAAGAAAGAGGAGGAGAAGAAUAAGAAGAAAUCGAGAAGAAGAAGAAGAAGGAGAAGGAGGAGCUUCUCCUCCUCCUCCUUCUCCUUCUUCUUCUCUUCUUCUUCUUAUUAUUCCUUCUUUUUAUUUUUCAUAUUUCUUCUCCUCUUCUCCUCUUGUUGGAGAUAAAUUAUCUAAUUAUGUCUUUUUGGAGCUAUAUGGGCUAAUUAUGUCAUUUUAGAGGAAAACAAGCUACGAAUAUAAUAUUCAUGAGCUAACCAAGGUUUUUAUGCCAUUUUGAGCUUAUUAUGUCAUUUUGGAGCUAAAUGGGUUAAUUAUGUCAUUUUUGGGGAAAAUAAGGUAAGGAGAAUAAGAAAGAGGAGAAGAAAGAGGAGGAGGAGGAGAAUAAGAAAUCAAGAAGAAGGAGAAGAAGAAGGAGAAGGAGGAGAAGGUCUUCUCCUCCUUCUCCUUCUUCUCCUCCUUCUUAUCCUACUCCUCCUUCUCCUCCUUCUCCUUCUUCUUGAUUUCUUCUUCUUCUUGGAGCUACGUAAGCCUUAUUAUGUCAUCUAAUAGCUAAGUUUGGGGAAUAGAUCAUCUUGGAGCUACGUAAGCCUUAUUGUGUCAUUUAGGAGAGAACUUAGCUAAGUAUAGGUCAUUUUUUAUUAAAUAGGCAAUUUUGGAGCUAACUAAGAUAAUUAUGUCAUUUAGGUGCUAGCCAAGCUAAUUAUAGGUCAUUUUGGAGCUAACUUGGGUAAAAUUUGUCAUUUUGGAGCUAACUAUGCUUAUUAAGCCAUUUUGGAGCUAGCUAAGCUAAUUAUAGCUCAUUUAAUAGCUAAGUUAGGGGGAAUAGGUCAACUUGGAGCUACGUAAGCGUUACUAUGUCAUUUAGGAGAGAACUUAGCUAAGUAUAGGACAUCUUUUAUUAAAUAGGCCAUUUUGGAGCUAACUAAGCUAAUUAUGUCAUUNNNNNNNNNNGCCAUUUAAUAGCUAAGUUAGGGGGAAUAGGUCAUCUUGGAGCUACGUAAGCCUUAUUAUGUCAUUUAGGAGAGAACUUAGCUAAGUAUAUGCCAUUUUUAUUAAAUAGGCCAUUUUGGAGCUAACUAAGCUAAUUAUGUCAUUUAGGUGGUAGCCAAGCUAAGUAUAGGUCAUUUUGGAGCUAACUUGGCUAAAAUAUGUCAUUUUGGAGCUAACUAUGCUUAUUAAGCCAUUUUGGAGCUAGCUNNNNNNNNNNCGAAGCCUAGCUAACUAUAGGUCCUUUCGGAGCUAACUUGGGUAAAAUAGGUCAUUUCGGAGCAAACUAUGCUUAUUAAGCCAUUUUGGACCUAGCUAAGCUAAUUAUAGGCCAUUUAAUAUCUAAGUUAGGGGGAAUAGGUCAUCUUGGAUCUACGUAAGCCUUAUUAUGUCAUUUAGGAGAGAACUUAGCUAAGUAUAGGUCUUUUUUUAUUAAAUAUGUCAUUUUGGAGCUAACUAAGCUAAUUAUGUCAUUUAGGUGGAAGCCAAGCUAACUAUAUGUCGUUUUAGAGCUAACUUGGGUUAAAUAUGUCAUUUUAGAGGAGGAGGAGAAGAAGAAUAAUAAAUCAACAAGAAGGAGAAGAAGAAGAAGGAGAAGAAGGAGGAGGAGAAGGUCACCACCUUCUCCUCCUUCUUCUCCUCCUUCUCCUUCUUCUUCUCUUCUUNNNNNNNNNNNNNNNNNNNNNNNNNNNNNNNNNNNNNNNNNNNNNNNNNNNNNNNNNNNNNNNNNNNNNNNNNNNNNNNNNNNNNNNNNNNNNNNNNNNNAUAGAGAGAGAGAGAGAGUUGAUUCCUGCAAUACUAUAUAUAUAGUUGAUCCUUGCAAUACUAUUUUUAUUUGUCUCAAUAUGAACACAUGUCACUUGACCAUACAUACCACCUCAUGAACUCCACUACUUAUAUUUCUCUCAAUAUGCAUGGAAAAUGCUACAUACUAUACUUUAUAAAUAUUUUACAAAAAGUUAUAAUCAAGUUCAAUAAAGCAUAUGUAUUUACAUUUUUCGAUCUCAUAUUCAUAUUCUGGAUAACCAAAUCUCAACAAAAUAUAUAUGCUGCAAGAAAUUCCAAGAACAUUUUGAGUGUCAUUUUCGGAAUGUUGGAAUGAAAAUUUCUUUAUAGAUCCAUAUAUAGGGGUGGGGUGUGGUGGCUCACCGGCAAGGGCGGCUGUGGCGUCGUGGGCGGCGGGGCCGGGGGUGUUGGGGNNNNNNNNNNUUUGGUGAAAAUAUCUGCAAGUUGCUCUUGAGUAUUGAUGAAAAGGACCUAAAUAUCUCCUUGCUUGAUAUGAUCUCGAAUGAAGUGAUGACUAUAUCAAUUUGCUUGGUCUUGCUAUGUUGUACCGGAUUAAGGGAUAUAUUGAUAGCACUCUCGUUGUCACACAGAAGAGGCACUUUGUCACAAGUGACACCAUAAUCCUUUAAAGUUUGCCUNNNNNNNNNNNNNNNNNNNNNNNNNNNNNNNNNNNNNNNNNNNNNNNNNNNNNNNNNNNNNNNNNNNNNNNNNNNNNNNNNNNNNNNNNNNNNNNNNNNNUGAUAAUUAUAUAUGGAAGCAAGGCAUAGCAUGUGAGCAUGAAGAUAAAGGCACAAGAUAAUAAGACUGACAAGCUAUUAAUAAAAUAGAUAAUAAUGAGAUAAAGGAUAGGGAAGAUAUAGCAUGUGCCUCACACCAUAUGAUAAAGUCUGACGUCUCAUAGUUUCACCCAUAAAGCAAAGACAACCAGCGAAAGCAACUAAAAUUUAAACAAAUAAAACGACCACGAAAACAAGAAAACGAGCAAAUACUACACUCUCUCCCCUUUGGCAUCGGGACACCAAAAAGGCAGAGAGGACACCUACAACAUAGGUGGUAGCUCGAACUAGAGAGAAUGUAGCCAUCAGUCUCUGGUCUCCUCCUGAACAUACUCCUCAUCUGAAUCAUCGUUUGUCUCCUCCUCAGAGCCCUGGUCAAACGCAGCCCACUGCAGCUUGUUCUUCUACAUCCACUCAGCCUCCGGGGUGAUCUCUCGCUCAGAUCCACUAGAGAUGUGCAUGUCAAGCUUCCUCGUGAUCAUCUUGCCACGCUGAUGACUCUCCUUCUGAGUGACAUGGGUCAUGUACUGUCCCUUGGCCUGCAUGCAAAACAAGGUAUUCAUCCUGUUGGUGAGCUUUUUGGCCCAUGACGGCUCGGCACAGGAAGGCAUGUGUGACUCUGGAACAGCCUCAUCCUCAGCGGCAGCCACAUCGUCAUCAGAAUCCCUAGGGGCAGCAGGUGUAGUUGAGGUGUUUGCCCAUUUGUCCUUCUGGCGCAGUUUGAUGGGCUCAUNNNNNNNNNNCGAACGAUGAAGAGCAUCAUGGAAUUAUCGAUGGAGAAAGGUUGAUGAUGACGAUGGUGACAAUUUCCCCUCUCCGGAGCCCGAAACGGACUCCAGAUCUGCCCUCCAGAUGAAGAAGAGGAUGUGGCGGCGCCUCCGUAUCGCAAAACACGAUGAAACCUUCUCUCUGAUUUUUUUUCCAGGCGAAACGGAAGAUAUAGAGCUGAGUUUGGGGGCGGUGGUGCCACGUGGGCCCCACAAGCCUGCACGGCGCGGCCUAGGGGGGUGGUCGAGGCCUGUGGGCUUGUGGCCCACUGGCACGCCCCCUCAGGUGGAUCUUUGCGCACGUAUUUUUCUUUUACUCUAGAAAAAAUCUCUGUAAAUUUUCAAGACAUUCCGAGAAAUUUUAUUUCUGCACAAAAACAACACCAUGGCAAUUCUGCUGAAAACGGNNNNNNNNNNUGAUUUUUUUUCAGGCGAAACGGAAGAUAUAGAGAUGAGAUUGGGGGCGAUGGUGCCACGUGGGACCCACAAGCCUGCACGGUGCCUCACGUGGAUCUUUGUGCAGGUAUUUUUCUUUUAUUCCAGAAAAAAUCUCCAUAAAUUUUCCGGACAUUUUGAGAACUUUUAUUUCUGCACAAAAACAACACCAUGGCAAUUCUGCUGAAAACAACGUCAGUCCGGGUUAGUUCCAUUCAAAUCAUGCAAAUUAGAGUCCAAAACAAGNNNNNNNNNNCGGACCAUAGAUUGGGAUCUUACGGUGGAAGACAGCGGAGUACACCUCGUUCCACAUAACAUGAGAGACAUCCAGUGGUCCAGAGGGGCGAGUCCGCCCCUUCUGACACAUGAUGAGCAUAUCUACCAGGUAAGAGUGGACCUGGUCCUNNNNNNNNNNUGGAAAAGUAGAUACAACGGAGACAUAUCAUGCAGCACAUCCAGAAAAGGGUUCAUAACAUAGGAGACCUCACCAAAUGGGGUUUGCUUCACAAUAUAGAAUGGUAGCAACUUCUCCUUGGCAANNNNNNNNNNUGAUCAUCAUCAGUGUGAAAGUGAACAAUAGCGAAGAAGUGUGCCACCAACUCAUAAUCAAAAUCUUGCUGAAAAGUGAUGAGCUCCUCAAUCUGAAGCUGGUCCACUAUGGACAGAGCAUCACCAAAAUAUGCAGGGUCUUUNNNNNNNNNNGAAAAAUGUGGUGCAUCACAUCCAGAAAAGGGUUCAUAACAUAGAAGACCUGACCAGAUGGGGUUUGCUUCACAAUAUAGAAUGGUAGCAACUUCUCCUUGGCAAUAGCAGUAGGGUUGGCAUGUGGGCGCAAGCCAACAGGGUGGUGAGGCCCCUCAUCCUGGACAUGCAGAAGAUCCAUGAAAUCCCUCCACUUAGCAGACAUCACUUCCCCAUUUGUCAGCCAGGUCAUGGUGCGAUCAUCAUCAGUGUGAAAGUGAACAAUAGCGAAGAAGUGUGCCAUCAACUCAUAAUCAAAAUCUUGCUGAAAAGUGGUGAGCUCCAGAAUCUAAAGCUGGUCCACUAUGGACAGAGCAUCACCAAAAUAUGCAGGGUCUUUCUUCAGAUGGUUGAUAUCAAUCCACUGCACAGGAACAUAUAAAUUCUUCUUCGAUUUGAGGACAUCGUCAAAGAUAAGAAACUGAUCUUUAUUCCAGAAGAUUUCACCUCCAGGGAACUUCUCCCUAUUGCUGUUAUAGGGGUUGAUCCUUCGGCGCCGCUGAAACUCUCCCAGUGGCAUGGUAUUCCAGUCAACAGUGUUCUUGUACUUCUGAGCAGUCUUCUUGAAAUUGCGCUUGGGAGCUUUAGAACCCUUGAGAACAUCUGAUGAGCGGGGAUGCUUGGAGCUCGCAUCCCGAGGGGGAUUAGAACGCCUAGAACCACCACCUAUGAUACACAAAAAGCAAACACAACACAAAGACACAAGACGCCAAGGCAAAGAUCAAGAAUCAACAGAAAAGGCCCAAAAAGGAGAGGGUAAUGCGUGUGCAAAAGGAAGGGCGGUAGUACGGCCGCUGGAGCGGUAGUAAAAUUUUACUACCGCUCUAGCAGCGGUAGUAAAAAUUUACUACCGCCCUGGCAGCGGUAGUAACACUGCUCGAGCGGUAGUACCGCACGGGAGGCAGAGNNNNNNNNNNNNNNNNNNNNNNNNNNNNNNNNNNNNNNNNNNNNNNNNNNNNNNNNNNNNNNNNNNNNNNNNNNNNNNNNNNNNNNNNNNNNNNNNNNNNUUAAGCUAAUUAUGUUAUUUCGUAGGAUAAUUAGCCAAUUUAGCCUUUCUUGGAUGAGUCUAAGCUACGUAGAAGAAGAGAUAGAGAAGAAGAAGUAAAAGAAGGAGGAGGAGGAGGAGGAGGAGAAGAAGAAGAAGGAAGAGGAGAAGAAGAAGGAGGAGGAGGAGGAGGAAGAGGAUAAGAAGAAGGAGAAGAAGGAGAAGGAGAAGGAGGAAGAAGGAGGAAGAAGAAGGAGAAGGAGGAGCUCCUUCUCCUUCUUCUCCUUCUUCUUCUCCUCCUCCCUCUCCUCCUUCUUCUCCUCUUCUUCUUCUUCCUUCCUUUCAUUUUUCCUCCUUUUCUCUUCUUGUCCCCUUCUUCGGGCUAAAUUGGCUAANNNNNNNNNNGCUCCUUCUCCUUCUCCUCCUUCUUCUCCUUCUUCUUCUCCUCCUCCCUCUCCUCCUUCUUCUUCUCCUCUUCUUCUUCUUCCUUCCUUUCAUUUUUCCUCUUUCUUCUCCUCUUGUCCCCUUCUUCGGGCUAAAUUGGCUAAGAAUGCCUUUUUGGAGCUAAUUAUGUCAUUUCGAGGAUAAUUAGCUAAGUAUAGGUCAUUUUUUAUUAAAUAGGUCAUUUAGGAGCUAACUAAGCUAAUUAUGUAAUUUCGUAGGAUAAUUAGCCAACUUAGCCUUUCUUGGAUGAGUCUAAGCUACGUAGAAGAAGAGAUAGAGANNNNNNNNNNNNNNNNNNNNNNNNNNNNNNNNNNNNNNNNNNNNCAUUUCUAGGAUAAUUAGCCAAUUUAGCCUUUCUUGGAUGAGUCUAAGCUACGUAGAAGAAGAGAUAGAGAAGAAGAAGUAAAAGAAGGAGGAGGAGGAGGAGGAGGAGGAGAAGGAGAAGGAAGAGGGGAAGAAGAAGGAAGAGGAGAAGAAGAAGAAAACAAGAAGGAGAAGGAGGAGAGGGAGGAGGAGAAGGAGGAAGAAGGAGGAAGAAGAAGGAGAAGGAGGAGCUCCUUCUCCUUCUUCUCCUCCUUCUUCUCCUUCUUCUUCUCCUCCUCCCUCUCAUCCUUCUUCUCCUCUUCUUCUUCUUCUUCCUUCCUUUCAUUUUUCCUCUUNNNNNNNNNNNNNNNNNNNNNNNNNNNNNNNNNNNNNNNNNNNNNNNNNNNNNNNNNNNNNNNNNNNNNNNNNNNNNNNNNNNNNNNNNNNNNNNNNNNNGCCAAGACCCGUCCCUCCCCUCCCCUCCCCUCCCGCCGCACCAAGCCCAGGCACCAAACAAAAAACCAAUCACCACUCGAGAAAGUUACGCACCAAGAAAAUAGCAGGAGGAAAAACAGGCCACUCCUCUGGCUCGUGCGCCUGCGCUCACUCCGAGAAAAGAAAAAUCGCCUCACCCAAUCCAAUCCAGCGCAGCGCAGCGCUGCUGUUCCUGGGAUUCGAGAGGGAGCCUGAGCUGCCCGGUUCUUGGCUGGCUCCAUGGUUUCUCCGACGUGCCUUUGAUCCGAGGACGAGGAGGCUUUCUUGGAUAGGUGGUGGUGGUUCUUGGAUAGGAUAGGAGGGGAGAGGAGAGAGGAUAGGGUUGUGGGUUGGCCGGCCAUGUCGGUGUCGUCCUCGUCUAUGUGCGGCGGGGACGCCGGGAUGAAGUGCGUGGUGUGGUUCCGGAGGGACCUCAGGGUGGAGGACAACCCGGCGCUGGCGGCGGCGGCGCGCACCGCCGGGGAGGUGGUGCCGGCCUACGUGUGGUCGCCGGAGGAGGACGGGCCNNNNNNNN